UUACUAAUUUGGCAAACCUCUCGAAAGAUUGGGACGCAGAGCUAUAGGGGCUUAUGUAGAAUACUGCCAGCCAGUUGCAAUG
rnacentral:ncRNA from 1 species